AGUGCUUUGAAUCCGGAUUCGCUCGCUUUAGUUACUGUAUGCAUCAGCUUCCUUGUUAAAGUCUCAACUCUUUUCUUUUUCCUUUCUUCUCUCGUGUGGGAGAACAAGUGAUUUUCAUCAUUACAGACGAGGAUAGCUCUGAAUAUUCUGUUGAAAAUGAUUCCGGAGCUGAAGAAAGACUCAGUGUGUGUGAGAGACAGAGGACAAGUGGAAACCAUCAUCAACAACAUGCGGAGAGCAGGACCUGAUGCCCUGCAGGUGAUCUCUGACUUUGACAUGACACUCACCAGGUUUGCUCACAAUGGGAUACGCUGCCCUACUACACACAGUGUUCUUUUCAGGAGCACACUCGUUAGUGAGGACUGUAAAUCGAAGCUAUCGGAUUUGGUGGCUCAUUAUUAUCCUAUUGAGAUCGACAGCUCAAUGUCGGUGGAGGAGAAAAUUCCCCACAUGGUGGAAUGGUGGACACGAGUUCAUGAUUUGAUCAUCCAACAACGAAUCAGGAAAGACCAGCUGGCUCAGGCUGUGAGGGAAUCGGGUGCCAUGUUGAGAGAGGGGUAUGGGUCUUUCUUUGACAUGCUGAACCAGAACUCGGUCCCUCUGCUGAUCUUCUCAGCCGGAGUUGGAGAUACUUUAGAGGGAGUGAUCACUGAACAUGGCGUCUUCCACCCGAACGUGCAAAUCUUUUCCAACUACAUGGACUACGACCAACACGGUGUGGUGUAUGCAUUUAAAGGCGAGUUGAUCCACGUAUUUAAUAAAAAAGAGGGAGCGCUACAGAACACACACCAGUUCGCACAUGAUCGCACCAAUGUGCUGCUGCUAGGGGAUUCACUGGGAGACCUGAACAUGGCUGAUGGAGUGCAGGACCUCCACAACAUCCUUCGCAUCGGCUACCUCAACGACAAGGUGACCCCUCCACAAGACGCCCACAGAUCCACCCCAAAAAACACACAAUUAUAUCAGAGUUUAUUUCUCAAAACCCAUAAUAUCAUGAAUAGUAUUAUCAUGCUUUUUAACUGUUCAUAUACAGUUGGGAAAAAGAAAUGGCACCCUCCUUUCUAUUCAAGUCUCUUUUUAUUUAUCGCCUCAGCAAUUGUGUGGUCCUCAUCAAUUUCUAUAAACAAAUAACCUCGGCUUAUCUGACAAAAAAAAAAAACACGCACACAACAGAGAUGUAGUAACUUUAUUUCCCCACAAAAAUUAAACCAACAUUCAGAAACCAGAUAUGAAAAAAUAAGUACACCCUUCCAACUUCUACAAUCAUUAAGAGAGUAAUUAGCAGUCAGGUGUUACUAAUGAAAUUCACACAGUUUAGUUAAGAAGAACUGACAAAAAGACAGGAGGCUGAACUGGAGGUAGCAGAGUUGAAGAUGUUCAGAUUUUCACUGGGCGUGACAAAGUUGAAUAAGAUUAGAAAUGAGUAUAUUAGAGGGACAGGACAUGUAGAAUGGCUUGGAGACCAAGUGAGUUUGAGAUGGUUUGGACAUGUACAGAGGAGAGAUCCAGGGUAUACUGGGAAAAGAAUGCUGGAGAUGGAGUUGCCAGGUAGAAGGAAAAGAGGAAGAGUAAAGAUGAGAUGUAUGGAUGUGGUGAAGGAGGACAUGAGGAUGGUUGGUCUGUCAGAAGACGGUACAGAGGACAAGAGGAGAUGGAGGGACGUUAUCCGCUGUGGUGACCCCUAAAGGCCUGGUCCCAUAAUAUCAAUAACUAUAAAUAAAUCAGUCCCCUGCAGUUUGUGGUUGUUGGUCAUACCAGACCAAUAAUUAUACCUAUAGCCCAGGCCUGGGUUUAUCUGUAUUGCUGAGAUUGCUUCUGGAGCGAUUUUUCCAGGCCUGGACCUGAUCCGAUAAAACAUCUGACCAAUCAGGUAAUUGUUUACAUUUGACGUUGUCUGACCAUUUGCUGUCUUCCCCAGGCAUCUUUGUACAUCCUUGUUGCAUCAUGAAGUCAUUGAACACGGAUUCACAGAAAAUAAAAAUUAAUACAAAGCACGAAUCUUUUAUUCAUGGAUGUGGUUUUCCAUGAAAUAUCAGUAGUAAAUUAAUAAACAUAUAAAAUCAGAAGAUAUUUUAAUUGUGAACUUCAGCAGUCCAAACAUUUGUUUUAGACUACUUAAUUUUUUAUCCAUGAUGCAUCUUCCGUAUGAAAUCCAUAACCAAUCUGUAAUAUACUGAAAUGUCCAUGACCAAUCUGUAAAUUAUUAGCAUCCAUGAUGCAUCUGUAUUAAAAUCUGUAACCAUUCCGUACUUUAUCCUUUUUUUUUUUUUUUUAAAUUAUAUUUCUGUAGUCCGUUAUCUAUCUAUAUUUUGUCAACCACCGGAGUAUGUGCAUGGGUUGUUUGUUUUUUGAAGUCCAAGCUAUACAGUAUGACCUGGAAUAAUGUGCUUCCAUGACUAUUCCUAAGUUGCAUGCAUUUAUUUACCUGAGUGGCAGGACCAACCAGUAUUGUAGUCGGAAUUAUAAUUGUGGUGUGACUGCUCCAGACUGGAACUAGAUUCAGGCAGAGGUAUAGCCAUAGUUGUAGUUAUAGGUAUAGUUAUUGGUAUUGUAGGACUUGGUCUUAAUGGUAACAGCCAAAAGUUGUUGUUAAUCGUCAAGAAAUGUGACCGCACUCAGGUGUGUCUCUACAUCAUGCCAAGAAGAAAGGACACCAGUCUUGACUUCAGCGAAGUAGUUGUUGCUACUCUUCAAUCUGGGAAGGGUCAUAAGGCCAUCUCUAAAUAAAAGGCAUCCCAGCAAAUUCAGUCCAAGGUCAGACCAUUUAAUGCUUGGAGAUAUAAAGAAAGACACGAGCUACAUCAUGUGACCUGCAGGCCACUGUAAGCCAGCGUUGUAGUCAAGUCACUAAACCUAGAGUCCGAGUCCAGUCUCAAAUCCCCAGUGUUCAAGUCCAAGUCAUUAAAGAAAAUUUCGAGUGGAGUCCAAGUCCAUUAUUGAUCCGAGUCAAGUCCAAGAAUAAGACUCCAACCGCACCAUUUGAUGGUGGCAGUUGCCUUUAGGUGAAAGCAUCUCUGCUAGUGUGUUGGACUAACGUUGCUGCUUGACUGCCCCAUUUUAGUUAUUAGGCUAAAGAUAAAAAGCUUCAUCACUCAGCAAGCCCUGCCCACUAUCGACAGGGCAAAUAACAUGAGAGAGGGUUAACACUAGCUAGGUCAUUGAUCAGCAAGCCCUGCCCACUAUCAACAAGGCAAUGAACAUAGUGUCGCUUAUCUGGGUGGAGUCUUGCCAAAUGAUGAUUAAAGUUCGAGGUUGUCCCUAUCGUCUCCUCGAUAGUUCUUCUACAUAUGGAACACAUAGCAGUGUAUUCCCCAUCCCACCCCAUGCACGAGAAGUCUGUAUAAGCAAAGUGGACAAUCCUAGGGGUGUUCUGUCCAGGCAUUUAGCACCAUUAACGUUAAGUUUGUUCCUGAGCAUGACACAUGAACAGAUGAAUGUGCAUUCUCUUUGUCAGGGAAUGUGAAGUAUUCUGUCAGAGGUGGUUUGGAGAUGGAUGUACAGUACAUGCAGAAGAUGUUUAUUAAUACAAGUGAAGAGAGGUAAACAAUCCAGAAUGGCAGGCAAAAUCGUAAAACGGUGUAAUAGGUUGAGCGAGGCACAAACGGGCUAUUGUGGGCUAGGCAGAAUCAAAGUUGCAAAACAGGAAAAUAAAUAAGGCUCGGUAAUGUCAGCAAUGCAGCUCAAUACUUUGCAACACAAGUGUGCUUUCACAGUCUUUAUAUAGGCACGCUGAUUGCACCUUAAUUCUGUAUAGGUGCGAGUUGUUUACGGCAUGCGAGAGUUCACUUGGCGUGCGCACUGUCCAGAACACACCUGAGAGUCCAUCUGAUGCAUGCUCCAAGGCACGCAGGUUUGACAUUCUUGCAAUGAAAUUAGUACAAAAAUUAAUGUAGAUAUAAGUAUCUUGUGCUGAAUUAUGGCAUAUUACAAAAAAUAGACACAAAUCAGAGUCCUCGUCUCCAAUUUAUGAGUCCGAAUGCAGUUAAUGUACGAGUUUGAGUCCAAGUCAUCAAUGCUCGAGUCCAAGUCCAGUCACAAGCCCUUAAAAUUAGGGUACAAGUUGGACUCAAGUACUACAAGUCUGCUAUAAGCACAUUAAAUGUUAACAUUCAUGAUGGCACAGUCAGAAAAACACUGAACAAGUAUGACUUUCACAGAAAGAUGGUUAGGAAAACGUCCCUUCUCUCCAAAAAGAAUAUAUAGCGUGACUUAGGUUUGUAAAAUUGCAUCUGAAGGGAAAAAGGGGGGGAAACAAGAUCUGGAACAAUAUCCUUUGGAUUGAUGAGAAUAAGUUGGAGAUGUUUGGUCAUCAUGCACAGCACCAUAUUUGGAGGAAAACCAAACACAGGAUAUCACCCCAAACGUCUCAAACUCUGAAGGGGUGAUGUUUAUGGUUUUGGGUUGUGCAGUCACAAGACCAAAGAAUCAUGCAGUCACUGAGACAAUGAUAAACUUUUCUUUAUAGCAGAAUAUUCUUGAAACAAAUCUGAGGUCCUCUGUCCAGCAGCUUUAGGUCAUACAACUGGACAAUGAUCCUAGGUACACUAGCAAAUUAGCAUCUGUGGCUAAAGAAGACAAACAAUGAAGGUGUUGGAAUGGCCAAAUCAAUAUUCACACCUCAAGCCCAUUGUGAUGCUGCAGCAGGAUUUUCAGGUCGAGGAGAGGAGAGAGGCGUUCGUCAGCUCUUAUGACAUCGUGCUGGAGAAGGACGAGACGCUAGACAUCCCAAAC